GCCUGAUGCAGCAAUGCCGCGUGAGUGAUGAAGGCCUUCGGGUUGUAAAGCUCUUUCAUUGGGGAAGAAGAUGACGGGACCCUACCAGGAAACCCCGGACUAACUUCGUGCCGUGACCCCCGCCGCUG
rnacentral:rRNA from 1 species